GACGAACGCUGGCGGCGUGCUUAACACAUGCAAGUCGAACGAAGAGCGAUGGAAGCUUGCUUCUAUCAAUCUUAGUGGCGAACGGGUGAGUAACGCGUAAUCAACCUGCCCUUCAGAGGGGGGCAACAGUUGGAAACGACUGCUAAUACCGCAUACGAUCUGACCUCGGCAUCGAGGAUAGAUGAAAGGUGGCCUCUAUUUAUAAGCUAUCACUGAAGGAGGGGAUUGCGUCUGAUUAGCUAGUUGGAGGGGUAACGGCCCACCAAGGCGAUGAUCAGUAGCCGGUCUGAGAGGAUGAACGGCCACAUUGGGACUGAGACACGGCCCAGACUCCUACGGGAGGCAGCAGUGGGGGAUCUUCCGCAAUGGACGAAAGUCUGACGGAGCAACGCCGCGUGAGUGAUGACGGCCUUCGGGUUGUAAAGCUCUGUUAAUCGGGACGAAAGGCC
rnacentral:rRNA from 1 species